rnacentral:rRNA from 1 species
CAGCAGCCACGUGAAUACGGAGGGUGCAAGCGUUAAUCGGAAUUACUGGGCGUAAAGCGCACGCAGGCGGUCUGACAAGUCAGAUGUGAAAUCCCCGGGCUUAACCUGGGAACUGCAUUUGAAACUGUCAGGCUGGAGUCUUGUAGAGGGGGGUAGAAUUCCAGGUGUAGCGGUGAAAUGCGUAGAGAUCUGGAGGAAUACCGGUGGCGAAGGCGGCCCCCUGGACAAAGACUGACGCUCAGGUGCGAAAGCGUGGGGAGCAAACAGGAUUAGAUACCCCGGUAGUCCCUGUCUCUUAUAC